GGGGAGGAGGAGGAGGAUUAGAGCGGCUUAAGCCGGGCAGAGCAGGAGGGAGGGGGCCGGGGGUAAAGCCACCGCCUCCAGCCGGCGGAUUUCCAGGCGGCAGCCCCUAAUCCCGGAGGAGGGCGGCGAAGCGGGGCAGGGAUGGGGGUGAGGAAAGGGCGGGGGUGGGGGGUGGGGGGGGAUGGCCAACGGCCGCUCCCUAACGGCCGCCAACGGCUGUCAGCGCCCGAGAACGUGCGGCCGCCACCGCCGCCGUCCGAAUCGCCCCGCCACUGCCUCGGCCCCGCCCCCCGGCCCCCCCACCCCAGCCAAUCGGCGGCGGCGGAGCGGCGGCGCCUCUUCGCGGUUGGGUGGCCUCCUGCCAAUCGCCUGUGAACGGGCUGGCGCGGGGUGGUAGUGGCCGCACCUGGUAACGCCCACCCCCACGCACCCACCCCCAGCCGGACUACGUGUCCCAGGGAGCACUGCGGCACGUUCCCGCGCAGGGAAGCGGUGGCCGCGCGGCGAAAUGCAUGACGGGAGCUGUAGUCCCGAGGAGCCUGAGGGGGACAUGGCGCGGGGUUGGGGGCGGCGGGGAGGGCCCGGGUCAGUGGGGUGUCGAAGUACUUUUUGUAUUAUUUUGGUGUGGUUUAAUUUUGGCCCUAAUAAGUUUUAUCCCGCUACGUAAAGCGAGGGAAGCAGUGGUUUGUGGCGCUUGGCCCAGACAGGGUGGUUCCCUCAGCGGGUGAAGGGUGUCUGCGUGGAGAGAUAAAUGCGAAUAAACGAUAUAUUUGUGCACGUACAGAAUGGUGUAUGUUUGUCUGACACGUUUGUUGGUACGGGCUCUUCAAAAGCCGAGUAACGCAAGGGAGAGAUUGGCCCUACAGAAAACAGCAGCAGUAUUUGCACUGACCAGGAUUUGGGGUUCCCCUGACUGCUUCAGGACAGGAUUUGGGGUUCCCCUGACUGCUUCAGGACGGGAUUUGGGGUUCACGAUGGGCCCAGGAGCUGUAAACUGCCGGCAAGGCCAACACAAAGUACAGAGGGAGCUGUGCCUGCAUUCUUUGUUUAUUGAAGUUUUUUUUGUUGUUGUUGUUUGUUUGUUUGUUUUUGUAACAGAUGGACCUCCAAGAUUCUGCAUUUUAUGGGGAAAAACACAAGUGCUUGACAGAACAAAUACACUCUUCCAAUUGCUUUGUUGGUCAAGAUUAAUCAUAACUGAGGAGAACAUGUGA
rnacentral:lncRNA from 1 species